rnacentral:misc_RNA from 1 species
GCAAACUUGGUCAUUUAGAGGAAGUAAAAGUCGUAACAAGGUUUCCGUAGGUGAACCUGCGGAAGGAUCAUUACUGAGUAUCGGGAUCUCUGAUCCCUACUCUCCACCUAUGUUAACUUCUUACUGUUGCUUUGGCGGACCGGUGGUCUAACCACCGCCGGCCCCUAGGCUAGAGAGCGUCCGCCAGAGGAUCAUUAAACGCUGUUUGAAAAUGUGGCGUCUGAGUGCAACUUUAAUUGAAAUCAAAACUUUCAACAACGGAUCUCUUGGUUCUGGCAUCGAUGAAGAACGCAGC